rnacentral:tRNA from 1 species
GCGCGCUUAGCUCAGUUGGUUAGAGCAUUCGGCUUACAUCCGAAAGGUCGUAGGUUCAAAUCCUACAGCGCGCA